rnacentral:rRNA from 1 species
CCUACGGGAGGCAGCAGUGAGGAAUAUUGGUCAAUGGACGCAAGUCUGAACCAGCCAAGUAGCGUGCAGGAUGACGGCCCUCCGGGUUGUAAACUUCUUUUAUCUGGGAGUCAAUUGCAGUCUUUAUACUGCUUUGCAUGUACCUUAUGAAUAAGGCUCGUCUAACUCCGUGCCCACAGCCGCGGUACUACGGGGGAUCCGAGCGUUAUCCGGAUUUAUUGGGUGUAAAGGGAGCGUCGGGCGGUUGUUAAGGCGGGUGUGAAAGUGUGCGGCCAAACCGGAAAAAUGCAGUUGAUACUGGGAGCCUAGAGUAAAGGAGAGGUAGGCGGAAUUCGUGGUGUAGCGGUGAAAUGCUUAGAUAGCACGAAGAACUCCGAUUGCGAAGGCAGCCUGCUGGACUGUAACUGACGCUGAGGCACGAAAGCGUGGGGAUCAAACAGGAUUAGAUACCCCUGUAGUC